rnacentral:rRNA from 1 species
AGAGUUUGAUCCUGGCUCAGGACGAACGCUGGCGGCACGCUUAACACAUGCAAGUCGAACGAGAGAAGAGAAGCUUGCUUUUCUGAUCUAGUGGCGGACGGGUGAGUAACACGUGAGCAAUCUGCCUUUCAGAGGGGGAUACCGAUUGGAAACGAUCGUUAAUACCGCAUAACAUAAUUGAACCGCAUGAUUUGAUUAUCAAAGAUUUAUCGCUGAAAGAUGAGCUCGCGUCUGAUUAGCUAGUUGGUAAGGUAACGGCUUACCAAGGCGACGAUCAGUAGCCGGACUGAGAGGUUGAUCGGCCACAUUGGGACUGAGACACGGCCCAGACUCCUACGGGAGGCAGCAGUGGGGAAUAUUGCACAAUGGAGGAAACUCUGAUGCAGCGAUGCCGCGUGAGGGAAGAAGGUUUUAGGAUUGUAAACCUCUGUCUUCAGGGACGAAAAAAGACGGUACCUGAGGAGGAAGCUCCGGCUAACUACGUGCCAGCAGCCGCGGUAAUACGUAGGGAGCGAGCGUUGUCCGGAAUUACUGGGUGUAAAGGGAGCGUAGGCGGGAUCGCAAGUCAGAUGUGAAAACUAUGGGCUUAACCCAUAAACUGCAUUUGAAACUGUGGUUCUUGAGUGAAGUAGAGGUAAGCGGAAUUCCUAGUGUAGCGGUGAAAUGCGUAGAUAUUAGGAGGAACAUCAGUGGCGAAGGCGGCUUACUGGGCUUUAACUGACGCUGAGGCUCGAAAGCGUGGGGAGCAAACAGGAUUAGAUACCCUGGUAGUCCACGCCGUAAACGAUGAUUACUAGGUGUGGGGGGACUGACCCCUUCCGUGCCGCAGCAAACGCAAUAAGUAAUCCACCUGGGGAGUACGACCGCAAGGUUGAAACUCAAAGGAAUUGACGGGGGCCCGCACAAGCAGUGGAGUAUGUGGAUUAAUUCGAAGCAACGCGAAGAACCUUACCAGGUCUUGA